rnacentral:rRNA from 1 species
UAUGGCCAUAUCACCCUGAAUGUGCCCAAGUCUCAUGUGAUCUCAGAAGCUAAGCAGGGUCGGGCCUGGUUAGUACUUGGAUGGGAGGAAUAACUAAAAAACCUGUGUAAAUCUGAUUUUGUGCCAUGU